UACGAAGGGGGCUAGCGUUGCUCGGAAUCACUGGGCGUAAAGGGUGCGUAGGCGGGUCUUUAAGUCAGGGGUGAAAUCCUGGAGCUCAACUCCAGAACUGGCCUUUGAUACUGAGGAUCUUGAGUACGGGAGAGGUGAGUGGAACUGCGAGUGUAGAGGUGAAAUUCGUAGAUAUCUGGAGGAACACCGGUGGCGAAGGCGGCAUCCUGGACCAACACUGACGCUGAUGGAGCGAAAAGCCAGGGGAGCAAAACGGGG
rnacentral:rRNA from 1 species